rnacentral:rRNA from 1 species
ACGAACGCUGGCGGCGUGCUUAACACAUGCAAGUCGAACGGAAAGGCCCUGCUUUUGUGGGGUGCUCGAGUGGAGAACGGGUGAGUAACACGUGAGUAACCUGCCCUUGACUUUGGGAUAACUUCAGGAAACUGGGGCUAAUACCGGAUAGGAGCUCCUGCUGCAUGGUGGGGGUUGGAAAGUUUCGGCGGUUGGGGAUGGACUCGCGGCUUAUCAGCUUGUUGGUGGGGUAGUGGCUUACCAAGGCUUUGACGGGUAGCCGGCCUGAGAGGGUGACCGGCCACAUUGGGACUGAGAUACGGCCCAGACUCCUACGGGAGGCAGCAGUGGGGAAUAUUGCACAAUGGGCGGAAGCCUGAUGCAGCAACGCCGCGUGCGGGAUGACGGCCUUCGGGUUGUAAACCGCUUUCGCCUGUGACGAAGCGUGAGUGACGGUAAUGGGUAAAGAAGCACCGGCUAACUACGUG